GGGAAGAGGCUUCCUUCCCGGUGUGCACUUCCCCCCGCAGGGUUUGCCCGACUCGGGUGGUCGAGAAGACGUGAGAUUGGCGGCCAUUUUAGACGCAGUAACCGAGGUUAGGGCUCAAGAGCUACUGCGAAAGGAGGGAGGGUGAUGUGGUUGGAGCGCAAGGACCUAGGCCCUCACGAGCUUUUCCGGGGUGGUGGCCUCUUAUGUUCGUUGAUUUACAUUAAUUUCUUUUCUCAGAUAUGCAGUCUGUUUUCUAUCUUGGUAUCCAGAGAAGGGGAGAUGGAGGGAGAGGGAGACCUCCCGCUCCAGCCCAGGUUGGGGAUAAUUCACUCCCAUAAGGGGACGAGGGUGGGUGGGCCCAGCGAUGGCUUGAGAGAUCUUGGCCUCAUUGUAAUUCUGGCUCUUUAUUCCUAAGUAGUCUAACCUUAUUCAGGUAACUAGAGUGUGGGGAAGACUUGGUGGGUGGGUUGGGGGAGGGGGCGAGACUGAGCUCCCAAAAUGGCUCCUGCCCCUCCUCGGAGGCGGACGGCCCAGGGGGGAGGGGAGGAGGGG
rnacentral:lncRNA from 1 species